UAACGGUCCGCACCUACAAAAUUCGUUC
rnacentral:sRNA from 1 species